rnacentral:lncRNA from 1 species
UAAUCCACCAGUUGAAUUUAUAUAAAUUAUAGGAAUAAUUGCCUAUAUACCCUUCAUGCGUUCGGAAAUAUCCGAUUUACCCCUACUUUUUUAUUUUUUUCUAAAAUACCUCUCAUAUGUUCUACCGUUAUUCCAAAAUACCCCUACAGUUAUCCCCUGUUAGUUUAACUCGGGUUAAACAUGGGUUAAAUGUAUACUAGAGUUAAAACCUAAACAAAAUACCUAUUUUGCCCCUACCUUAUUAUACUAAUCUCUAAGGUUAUCCUCUCUUUCUUUCCCAACUUGGUCGCCACCACCGGCUGGCUCCUCCACCACCACCGGCCGGCUCCUCCGCCUCCAUUUCACCUCAUCUCCUCCUAGACCACCACCACCACCUCCCACACCUCCACCUCCAACACCACCCCUCCCGUCGCUCUCGUCGUCCUCCUCCGCCUUCGCUCUCAUCGCCGUCAUUUUCCUCCUCGGCCGCCUUGGCCGGCGUCGGGAACAAGAGGGCCGCAGCGCCAUCGGACCCUUGCAAGCCCUCCGCUCCGGAUCCUGCUGAAGGGCAAAUAAAAAAGCAUUUGCUAUAUGAAGGGUAUAUAAAAAAAGUUUGUUAGAGUACAAGGGUAUAUUGGAAUGGGCAAAAUAGUAAUUUUUCAGAGAUAACGGCAGCUCACUAACGGAACUUAAUUCCAGAAGUAUUUUACAUAAGAAUGGUAUUUUCAAUAUUAACCUUCUAAGAGGGGUAAAUAAGAAAAUUGAAAACUUUUCAGGGAUAUAUAGGCAAUUG